rnacentral:lncRNA from 1 species
CUGCCAGCCCGGCGCCCGGCUGCUGCAGCCUCGGCACGAAGGUGCCCCCCGCUCUAGCGUCCCCAGCCCUGGGGGCCACCCGGUUUGUACUAUGCUGGAAAGAAUAUUUUGAGGAUGGGGAAAAGCAGCUAAGGAAACAGACUAAAUUAUUACAAGAGGGAAGAAUGAAUGGAAUCUGCAUUCAGAAAUACUCUGGAAGGCACUGGAAAGGAGUUCACGCCUGAUUAUACAUGUAUUAUUGUAAGUACAUGCACUUAAACAGAAUUUAAACUUAAAAGAACAAGCAGUCACAUUUUUGCUGUGAUCUUUAACUUGAUUUAUUAAUU